rnacentral:pre_miRNA from 1 species
UGAAGCUGCCAGCAUGAUCUAGCUCUGAGUGAUCACCCGAGAAGAACAAUAGUUCGAGGUGGUCUCGCCUUGCUAGGUCAUGCUGCGGCAGCCUCA